GGCAUUUAGUAAGAUUUCCAUAACUGGAUCAUUGCAAGAAAGAGAUUACGUAGCAGGAACAAAUAUAAGGCAAGGCCACCAUAUAUUAUACGUUACAGACGAGCAAAUAUAAGAGGGGCAUUUACCCGAAGGACUCAAGGUCAGAAAGUAGAAAGAAAGAACGUACUGAGAAGGCAGCAGCGGGGCCUUGUAUGCACAGAGCAGUAGCUGUUUUUGUGGAGGUUGCCGUGCCAAGAGGAGACAGCGAGAGGGUGCCCAGCGAGACCGCCACCAGUAACGCGUACGCUUAGCUGAGAAUUUCUCUUCGCACUCCGAGGCUGGACAUUCUAGCGCCCACUCCUCCACGGCUUGAGUGCACCUCUCAUGUGUUGACGUUUCUCUCUCCGGUAUACGCGGAACUUGUUGAACCAGUGUUGUGUUGUGUUGUGCUGUGCUGUGCUUCGUUUACUUAGUAGUGUUGUUCAGCGUCAGUGUGUUUGUGUCCUGUUCCUUCCUGCUGCUCCAAAUACUGACUUGGGAAUUUCACCACUGCUCGCUGGCACUCGUUGGCUGACGCGGAGGCAGUGACCAGACCAGUAUAACAAGCAGGUGUUGGUGUCUCAGCCGACCACUGCCGCCCGAGACCCUUCAGCAGCAGCACCGCCACCAGGAUGUCGGGCCAGGAGGUGGUGGAGGAGCCGUGUGUGUUCCAGCCCCAGCACCAGCACGAUGACCGCCACUGCCGCUGCUACAAGGGCGGCGAUGACAAGCCCGUCCUGCUCGACAACAUAGAGCCCGUGACCCUACAGAAACAGACCUACUACAGCCGCGUCACUAACGAGUACACGAGGCAGCGGCUGGUGCGGGCGACAGACAGGCCCGUCAAGAAGGGGUUCCAGGUGCUGCGUCAGGAAGCCCUCGCGAGUGGCAAGCUGUACCGCGACCCAGAGUUCCCCGCCAACGACUAUUCCAUCAACUUCAGCGGCGUCACGAGAAGAACCUACGAGUGGAAGCGGCCUAUGGAACUGGUCCAAAAUCCACAAUUCUUCAUCGACGGCGCCACAAGAUUCGACAUACAGCAAGGAGAGCUCGGUGACUGUUGGUUGCUGGCGGCCGUGUCCAACCUGACGCUGCAUCCCCAACUGUUCCAUGUGGUGGUGCCGCGCGACCAGGGCUUCACGCACCUCUACGCCGGUAUCUUCCAUUUCAAGUUCUGGCAGUACGGUCGUUGGCAGGAGGUGGUGGUAGACGACCUGCUCCCCAGCCAUCACGGCCGCCUCGUCUUCAUGCACUCCCGCACGCCCAAUGAGUUCUGGUGCGCCCUGCUGGAGAAGGCCUACGCGAAGCUGUACGGGGGUUACGAGGCUCUGCGCGGCGGGAACAUCAAUGAGAGUAUGGUGGACCUGACCGGCGGCGUGGUGGAGCUUAUUGACCUCCGCACGCCGCCCUCAAACCUCUUCCCGCGGCUCCUGAAGGCCUGCCGCAGGGGCGCGCUCAUCGGGUGCGCCAUCGAACCCGAUCACCCCGGCGUGCGUCCGGAGACCAUCAUGGCGAACGGGCUUAUCGUACGCCACGCCUACUCCAUCACCCGCGUCACCGCCAUCUCCCUCGGCGCAGCACCCAAACUGAAGGAGCAGAGGUUAAUCUCGCCCGUGCACAGACCUCACCUGCACGGCGCUAUGAGGUCCAUGGUAAAGUAUCUUGGGGGUGUGGCAUCGGGCUCCAGCAUAUCCUCCAAGAUCAAGAGCUCCUCCACUCACCUCUCUCACAUCCUCGCCCCCCUAACCAACUGGAACCUUGGCUUGGCUUUCCCUGAGGGCGAGGCUCACUUGCUGCGCCUGCACAACCCCUGGGGCAACGAGGCCGAGUGGCAGGGUUCAUGGAGCGACAAAUCCCCUGAGUGGAACGCCGUGCCGCCUGGGGAGAGGCAGCGACUUGGCCUCACCUUCAAUGACGACGGGGAGUUUUGGAUGAACUUUCAGGACUUCAUCAACAACUUCACCACCGUCGAGAUCUGUGACGUCAGCCCGGAGUUCUACGCGGGCGAGGAGAACGGCAAUGGUGGUGUGCCAGAGGACGUGGAGCGUGGGUGGCGGGUGACGAUGUACGAGGGCGCCUGGGUAGCCAACCACUCGGCGGGCGGCUGCAGGAAUUACAUCAACACGUUCGCGCGAAACCCCCAGUACACCAUCCAGCUGAAGGACCCCGACGAGGAGGACGACGACGACCUGUGCACCGUCAUCAUCUCGCUCAUGCAGAAGAACGUGCGCCAGAUGAAGCGUUACGGCAAGGACUACGUGCCCAUCGGCUUUACGCUCUACAAGCUCCCGCCCAGCCGCCCGCCCGGACUGAAGCUGGACGUGGACUUCUUCAGGUACAACGCCAGCUGCGGCAAAGUCCCCUUCUUCCUCAACACGCGGGAGGUCACUACAAGGUUCCGGAUGCCCGCUGGCCACUACGUCAUCAUCCCGUCCACCUUCGAGCCGGAGAUGACGGGAGAGUUCCUGCUGAGAGUCUUCACGGAGAUCAGGCAAUAGGCGGCGUUUGGACCAGCCUCGAGUCGCCGCUCCCUUCGGCCGUCUUCCACUGCCCACCGAUGACUGUGUGUGUGGACCUGGGGCUGACACACACACACACACACACACACACACACACACACACAUCAUUGUCUCAUUGUAUAGGAGGUGUUGGGGGGUCAGAUUGUGCCUAUCCCCCCUCCUUCUCCUCCCGUCCCUAGCCCUUCCACGGGUUGCUGUUACGCGCUUCCUCUCCCCAGUAUUGUCACGUCAAGGAUUACAUUGUUUCGGGAUUUAUUUUCUAGCUCCCCCUGCAUUACUUAUUUCAGCCCCGCCGUGUGCCAAUUCUUAGCCAGCCCUCGUUCGUUCGCUCGCCGGGCCGCUGGUCACUCACGUCCCUCACACUCGUAUUAUCAAACGUUCGGGGCUCUUGUUACGAACGUUUUUCAAGGCCAGAGAAGAGCUACGUUGGGUUGUCAUGAACGUUUGUCCCACUCACGGCGAGGAAGCUCUCCAAAACUAUACCGGGCUCAGGAAACCACCUCUGGGAACCCCGACGACUUCUGCGAGAGCCUUUUGAAGUAGAUGGACUGAGCCUUCGAAGAGUUUGAUGAUAUGUUGCGAGAGCCUUUUAAAUGGAUGGACUGAGCCUUGGAAGAGUUUGAUAUGUUGCGAGAGCCUUUUAAGUGGAUGGACUGAGCCUUCGAAGAGUUUGAUGAUAUGGACCUCAUUCUCGCAAGUCAUCGGUCGUGUUGGCCAUCCCUUGGUGAGUACCGCGGGGAAACACGUCGAGUGAUAUUAUAAGGAUAUUAUUAAUUAAGAGUAUUUUUAAUGAAGAGUGUUGUGAAUGGUUGCCUUGCCGAGUGAAAUGCAGCUGUUUGGUGUUUUUGAUAUUUUAAUGAAAUCAAUAAAUAAUAUUUGUUUUAA